rnacentral:rRNA from 1 species
UCCUGGCUCAGGAUGAACGCUGGCGGCGUGCUUAAUACAUGCAAGUCGAACGAAGCACUCCACCCGUACCAAGAAAGCUUGCUUUUGGAGGUACACCUGGAGUGACUUAGUGGCGGACGGGUGAGUAACGCGUGGGAAACCUACCCUGUACAGGGGAACAACAGUUGGAAACGACUGCUAAUACCGCAUAAGCGCACGGGAACGCAUGUUUCUGUGUGAAAAGAUUAUAUCGGUACAGGAUGGUCCCGCGUCUGAUUAGCUUGUUGGCGGGGUAACGGCCCACCAAGGCGACGAUCAGUAGCCGACUUGAGAGAGUGAUCGGCCACAUUGGGACUGAGACACGGCCCAGACUCCUACGGGAGGCAGCAGUAGGGAAUAUUGCACAAUGGGGGAAACCCUGAUGCAGCGACGCCGCGUGAGUGAAGAAGUAUUUCGGUACGUAAAGCUCUAUCAGCAGGGAAGAUAAUGACGGUACCUGACUAAGAAGCUCCGGCUAAAUACGUGCC